rnacentral:rRNA from 1 species
UUGAACGCUAGCGGCAUGCCUAACACAUGCAAGUCGAACGGCAGCACGUUUCGGGUAACCGAGAUGGUGGCGAGUGGCGGACGGGUGAGUAAUACGUAGGAAUCUGCCUUAUAGUGGGGGACAACCCGGGGAAACUCGGGCUAAUACCGCAUAAUCUCUACGGAGCAAAGCAGGGGACCGUAAGGCCUUGCGCUAUAAGAUGAGCCUACGUCGGAUUAGCUAGUUGGCGGGGUAAAAGCCCACCAAGGUUACGAUCCGUAGCUGGUCUGAGAGGACGGCCAGCCACACUGGGACUGAGACACGGCCCAGACUCCUACGGGAGGCAGCAGUGGGGAAUAUUGGACAAUGGGCGAAAGCCUGAUCCAGCAAUGCCGCGUGUGUGAAGAAGGCCUUCGGGUUGUAAAGCACUUUCGGUGGGGAAGAAAUACUCAAGGGUAAUAUCCUUGAGGGUUGACGUUACCCACAGAAGAAGCACUGGCUAACUCUGUGCCAGCAGCCGCGGUAAUACAGAGAGUGCAAGCGUUAAUCGGAAUCAUUGGGCGUAAAGCGCACGUAGGUGGAUAUUUAAGUCGGAUGUGAAAUCCCUGGGCUUAACCUAGGAAUUGCAUUCGAUACUGGAUAUCUAGAGUAUGGUAGAGGGAAGUGGAAUUUCCGGUGUAGCGGUGAAAUGCGUAGAUAUCGGAAGGAACACCAGUGGCGAAGGCGGCUUCCUGGACCAAUACUGACACUAAAGUGCGAAAGCGUGGGGAGCAAACAGGAUUAGAGACCCUGGUAGUCCACGCCCUAAACUAUGAGAACUAGACGUUAGGGGAGUUAAACCUCUUAGUGUCGAAGCUAACGCGUUAAGUUCUCCGCCUGGGGAGUACGGCCGCAAGGUUAAAACUCAAAGAAAUUGACGGGGGCCCGCACAAGCGGUGGAGCAUGUGGUUUAAUUCGAUGCAACGCGAAGAACCUUACCUACUCUUGACAUCCUUGGAAUCUUCUAGAGAUAGAAGAGUGCCUUCGGGAACCAGGAGACAGGUGCUGCAUGGCUGUCGUCAGCUCGUGUCGUGAGAUGUUGGGUUAAGUCCCGUAACGAGCGCAACCCUCGCCCUUAGUUGCCAGCGGGUAAUGCCGGGAACUCUAAGGGGACUGCCGGUGAUAAACCGGAGGAAGGCGGGGAUGACGUCAAGUCAUCAUGGCCCUUACGAGUAGGGCUACACACGUGCUACAAUGGAUAGUACAGAGAGUUGCCAAACCGCGAGGUGGAGCUAAUCUCACAAAACUAUCCGUAGUUCGGAUUGGAGUCUGCAACUCGACUCCAUGAAGCCGGAAUCGCUAGUAAUCGCGAAUCAGAAUGUCGCGGUGAAUACGUUCUCGGGCCUUGUACACACCGCCCGUCACACCAUGGGAGUGAAUUGUACCAGAAGCGGGUAGGCUAACCCUUUGGGAAGCCGCUCACCACAGUAUGAUCCAUGACUGGGGUG